CGCGCGGAGCUGGGGCUUCCCGCGCGCUUUCCCGCCGCCUGUGGGCAGUGAAGCCUGCGAGCACCUUGCGCGCGUUCGCGGCGUCCCGGGGACCUGCGCCCCGCGCCUUAGGAUGCGCGUGGACCCGGGCCGGCGGGUGCCGGGAACAGGGGGACAGAGGAGGACCGCGGGCAUCUUGGGGUGACAGGCUUGACACAUUUUUUACAUUGAUAAAAAGAGAAGACGACUAAACGCAGAGAGGGGGAAAGCUCAGCAGAAGCGACACUACUUAGAAGUGUUCCCAAGUGGAAGGCAGCCGGCCUGUUUCCUACAGGAAGGCUGCUACAGUGUUUACGUCACAGACAAAAUCCUGGAGCACUCGACUGAUUUCACUGAAAGUAUAAAAAAAUAUGACUUUUCUCUGGAGUCUAACAGAUUCGAAUGAGCCACAGCAGAAAAGAGCUCCUGGAGUGAUAAAAUGGGAGAAAAUCUUGUUGUUUUAACACUUUAAAAAAUUGAUCUCAGUUGCACAAAAAUGCUUAAGUUUCUUUGCAAAAAAUUUCUGUGAUCAAUACAAAUUCCUUUCAAUGCAGACCAAAGUAGGAGACCAGUAGCCCAAAUUAAUUAACCUUUCCUCGAGAUCAAUUGGUUUUCUGUUGAUUUAGCAGUAAUAUUGCGGAACAUUUAGCUAUAAUGUAUUUUAAUGUGAUACCUCAAUAUGUCAAGAGGAAAGCCUCAUUGAAAAGAUAAAAUUACUUAAAUUA